ensembl:misc_RNA Metazoa_SRP Metazoan signal recognition particle RNA
GCCAGGCUCGGUGGUGCACCCCUGUAGUCCCAGCUACUCAAGAGGCUGAGACAGGAGGAUUGCUUGAGUCCAGAAGUUCUAGGCUGUAUUGCACUAUGCCAGUAGAGUGCCUGCACUAAGUUCAGCAUCAAUAUGGUGAACUUCCAGGAGUGGGGGAUCACCAGGUUGCCUAAUGAGGGGUGAACUAGCCCAGGUCAGAAAUGAAGCAAGUCAAAAAUACAUUUUCUAGAAAAAAAUUUAUUCCCUCAUCCAUUUAUGAAAUAAGAUAGACUUCCAGAAAAACUAAUUUAUUUUACCUUU